UUGAAAUGCAAAUAAAAAUGUCAAAAAUGUUUAUAACACACCCAACAGCAAUCUGGGGUGAUUGCGGCGAGGGGCACACAAAAUUUGUUGCCUCCCUAUGAACAAAUUCCCUACAUAG
ensembl:snoRNA